GUUCAGGCAGCGAGAGAGAUGCUGAAGACGGCAAGGUGCUAGAGGAACCUGCGUUUUGCUAAGGAGGGAAACUUCUUCACUUCCUAUCUCAAACAUUUCUGUCGGACUUCCAGUAUUAAACAUCUACAUCUCCGCUCAAGAAGUGCUUCUGGUUCAGAGUAUUCUCAAGACUGAAGUUGUUCAACAUAAUAGAAGGAGAAGCUGGGCCUGUUCAGCCUGGAGAAGAGAAGAUUGAG